UAUGAAGGUCAGCUGAAGACUUACCCGAUUAGCUGAGAGGUGGUGCAUGGCCGUCGUCAGUUCGUACUGUGAAGCAUCCUCGUUAAGUCAGGCAACGAGCGAGACCCACGUCCACAGUUGCCAGCAUACCCUCCGGGGUGAUGGGUACACUGUGGAGACCGCCGCUGCUAAAGCGGAGGAAGGAGUGGGCAACGGUAGGUCAGUAUGCCCCGAAUCUCCCGGGCUACACGCGGGCUACAAUGGUUGGUACAAUGGGCAUCUACCCCGAAAGGGGAAGGAAAUCUCUUAAAGCCAAUCGUAGUUCGGAUUGAGGGCUGCAACUCGCCCUCAUGAAGCUGGAAUCCGUAGUAAUCGCGUUUCAACAGAACGCGGUGAAUACGUCCCUGCUCCUU
rnacentral:rRNA from 1 species